UGGGGAAUAUUGGACAAUGGGGGAAACCCUGAUCCAGCCAUGCCGCGUGCGUGAAGAAGGCCUCAGGGUUGUAAAGCGCUUUCGGCGGGGAAGAUGAUGACGGUACCCGCAGAAGAAGCCCCGGCUAACUCCGUGCCAGCAGCCGCGGUGAUACGGAGGGGGCAAGCGUUGUUCGGAAUUACUGGGCGUAAAGCGCGUGUAGGCGGCUCGUUAAGUCAUGUGUGAAAGCCCUCGGCUCAACCGGGGAACGGCGCGUGAAACUGGCGAACUUGAGUACGGAAGAGGGGGGUGGAAUUCCAGGUGUAGCGGUGAAAUGCGUAGAUAUCUGGAGGAACACCGGUGGCGAAGGCGGCCCCCUGGUCCGAUACUGACGCUGAUACGCGAAAGCGUGGGGAGCAAACAGGAUUAGAUACCCUGGUAGUCCACGCUGUAAACGAUGGGCACUAGGUGUCCGGGGUAUUGACCCCCUGGGUGCCGCAGCUAACGCAUUAAGUGCCCCGCCUGGGGACUACGGUCGCAAGACUA
rnacentral:rRNA from 1 species